rnacentral:rRNA from 1 species
CAUUACCGAGUUUACAACUCCCAAACCCCUGUGAACAUACCUUAAUGUUGCCUCGGCGGAUCAGCCCGCGCCCCGUAAAACGGGACGGCCCGCCAGAGGACCCAAACUCUAAUGUUUCUUAUUGUAACUUCUGAGUAAAACAAACAAAUAAAUCAAAACUUUCAACAACGGAUCUCUUGGUUCUGGCAUCGAUGAAGAACGCAGCAAAAUGCGAUAAGUAAUGUGAAUUGCAGAAUUCAGUGAAUCAUCGAAUCUUUGAACGCACAUUGCGCCCGCUGGUAUUCCGGCGGGCAUGCCUGUUCGAGCGUCAUUUCAACCCUCAAGCCCCCGGGUUUGGUGUUGGGGAUCGGCUCUGCCUUCUGGCGGUGCCGCCCCCGAAAUACAUUGGCGGUCUCGCUGCAGCCUCCAUUGCGUAGUAGCUAACACCUCGCAACUGGAACGCGGCGCGGCCAUGCCGUAAAACCCCAACUUCUGAAUGUUGACCUCGGAUCAGGUAGGAAUACCCGCUGAACUUAAGCAUAUCAAUAAGCGGAGGAAAAGAAACCAACAGGGAUUGCCCUAGUAACGGCGAGUGAAGCGGCAACAGCUCAAAUUUGAAAUCUGGCUUUCGGGCCCGAGUUGUAAUUUGUAGAGGAUACUUUUGAUGCGGUGCCUUCCGAGUUCCCUGGAACGGGACGCCAUAGAGGGUGAGAGCCCCGUCUGGUUGGAUGCCAAAUCUCUGUAAAGUUCCUUCGACGAGUCGAGUAGUUUGGGAAUGCUGCUCUAAAUGGGAGGUAUAUGUCUUCUAAAGCUAAAUAUUGGCCAGAGACCGAUAGCGCACAAGUAGAGUGAUCG